rnacentral:rRNA from 1 species
GGCAUCCUACGGGGGGCAGCAGUGGGGAAUAUUGCACAAUGGGGGAAACCCUGAUGCAGCGAUGCCGCGUGGAGGAAGAAGGUUUUCGGAUUGUAAACUCCUUUUAUCAGGGACGAUAAUGACGGUACCUGAAGAAAAAGCUCCGGCUAACUACGUGCCAGCAGCCGCGGGAAUACGUAGGGAGCGAGCGUUGUCCGGAACUACUGGGAGUAAAGGGAGCGAAGGCGGGACGGCAAGUAAGAGGUGAAAACUGAGGG